CCUACGGGAGGCAGCAGUGAGGAAUAUUGGUCAAUGGACGAGAGUCUGAACCAGCCAAGUAGCGUGAAGGAUGACUGCCCUAUGGGUUGUAAACUUCUUUUAUAAAGGAAUAAAACGAGGCACGUGUGCCUUUUUGCAUGUACUUUAUGAGUAAGGAUCGGCUAACUCCGUGCCAGCAGCCGCGGUAAUACGGAGGAUACGAGCGUUAUCCGGAUUUAGUGGGUUUAAAGGGAGCGUAGAUGGGUUGUUAAGUCAGUUGUGAAAGUUUGUGGCUCAACCAUAAAAUUGCAAUUGAUACUGGCAGUCUUGAGUACAGUUGAGGUAGGCGGAAUUCGAGGUGUAGCGGUGAAAUGCUUAGAUAUCACGAAGAACCCCGAUUGCGAAGGCAGCUUACUAAACUGUGACUGACAUUGAUGCUCGAAAGUGUGGGUAUCAAACAGGAUUAGAUACCCUUGUAGUC
rnacentral:rRNA from 1 species